UACGUAGGGGGGCAAGCGUUGUCCGGAAUUAUUGGGCGUAAAGCGCGCGCAGGCGGCCUUGUAAGUCUGUCGUUUAAACUCGGAGCUCAACUUCGAGUCGCGAUGGAAACUGCAAAGCUUGAGUGCAGAAGAGGAAAGUGGAAUUCCACGUGUAGCGGUGAAAUGCGCAGAGUAUCAGGAGGAACACCGGUGGCGAAGGCGCCCACUCUGGGCCGGUACUGACGCUGAGGAGCGAAAGCGUGGGUAGCAAACAGG
rnacentral:rRNA from 1 species